CGGACGGGUGGGUAAUGUCUGGGAAACGUCCCGACUGAGGGGGAUAACUACUGGAAACGGUAGCUAAUACCGCAUAACGUCGCAAGACCAAAGAGGGGACCGUUCGGGCCUCUUGCCAUCGGAUGUGCCCAGAUGGGAUUAGCUAGUAGGUGGGGUAAUGGCUCACCUAGGCGACGAUCCCUAGCUGGUCUGAGAGGAUGACCAGCCACACUGGAACUGAGACACGGUCCAG
rnacentral:rRNA from 1 species